rnacentral:rRNA from 1 species
GACGAACGCUGGCGGCGUGCUUAACACAUGCAAGUCGAACGGUGACGAGGAGCUUGCUCCUCCGAUCAGUGGCGAACGGGUGAGUAACACGUGAGUAACCUGCCCCAGACCCUGGGAUAACAGUUGGAAACAGCUGCUAAUACCGGAUACGAGACGGAGAGGCAUCUCUACCGUCUGGAAAGAUUUAUCGGUCUGGGAUGGACUCGCGGCCUAUCAGCUUGUUGGUGAGGUAAAGGCUCACCAAGGCGACGACGGGUAGCCGGCCUGAGAGGGCGACCGGCCACACUGGGACUGAGACACGGCCCAGACUCCUACGGGAGGCAGCAGUGGGGAAUAUUGCACAAUGGGCGAAAGCCUGAUGCAGCGACGCCGCGUGAGGGAUGACGGCCUGGUGUAACUACUUCUAGC